rnacentral:lncRNA from 10 species
AUUCUACAACAUUUUAAAAUGUUCACUCAGGAACAGUCUACUAAGGAUUAAUAAAUAUGAAAAUAGCAUUAUGAUUAAUGAACAAUGGGAGCUGUAGUAUUUUGUAUACAGCACUAUUCUUAUUUUGAAUGUUACAGUGGAUCUUUCCAGCACAUCAGGAUAACCACAGUAGUGUGGAAGAUGCUAAAGGAGCCCUUGUGACCAAUCACAGAUGAUUGACAACUAAUCAUCAUAAAUUAAACAAUAGGUUGCAUAUAUCAAUCUGCUUUUCAGGAUUAGACCUGGAAGGAUAAAUAUGACAAUAUUAAAGUGGACACUGAGAAGAGAUGCUACACUUCAGGCAACAAAUCUUGUCAGUGGUGGACCAUGGUAAGUGAUUUUGCCAUUCAAAAAUGAAAGUAAGGAUUAUCGCAUGGAAGAAAGUACUUCUGAGAUAUUUGCUUUCAAUAGGCAUUUCAACAUUAAAAUAUGCUUAGAAAACCAAAGAGUGGGCGGAGCACUGUGGCUCACACCUGUAAUCCUAGCAUUUUGGGAGGCCAAGGUGGGUGGAUCACCUGAGGUCAGGAGUUCGAGACCAGCCUGGACAACAUAGUGAAACCCCAUCUUUACUAAAAAUACAAAAAUUACCAUGCCUGUAAUCCCAGCUACUCGGGAGGCUGAGGCAGGAUAAUUGCUUGAAUCCAGGAGGCAGAAGUUCCAGUGAGCUGAGAUCACUCUGCUGCAUUCUAGCCUAUGUGACAGAGCGAGACUCUGUCUCAAAAAAAAAAAAGAAAAGAAAAGAAAGAAAAUACAGGACCAUUUGUAGUAACAGCUACCCAGCUCUGCAAAAGCUACAAAACUAAUUCACUUAUAAAGCCUUAUAGGAAUUACGGAAAUGUGUAGAGUGUAAACCUAAAUGCCAUAAGUAGCUACUAUACUCUGAUUUCUCUUGCUUCACUGAGAGAAAUAGUUGCUGAAGAAAGUGGUGUUGGAAGAGGAAUGCUUUUGAAAGGUACAGGCAGUCUAUGAAGUCAAAGAUAAGAUCUAACCUUCAGCUAUCUUCUUAGUAUCUUUUGAGGAAAACAUGAACCCUAUAUACAUUCAAAACUAUAAAUUUGCUGGUAUACUAAAAUGAUUAAGUAAAUUUAAGGGAAC